AACGAACGCUGGCGGCAGGCUUAACACAUGCAAGUCGAGCGCCCCGCAAGGGGAGCGGCAGACGGGUGAGUAACGCGUGGGAAUCUACCGAGCCCUAAGGAAUAGCUCCGGGAAACUGGAAUUAAUACCUUAUACGCCCUUUGGGGGAAAGAUUUAUCGGGGUUUGAUGAGCCCGCGUUGGAUUAGCUAGUUGGUGGGGUAAAGGCCUACCAAGGCGACGAUCCAUAGCUGGUCUGAGAGGAUGACCAGCCACAUUGGGACUGAGACACGGCCCAAACUCCUACGGGAGGCAGCAGUGGGGAAUAUUGGACAAUGGGCGCAAGCCUGAUCCAGCCAUGCCGCGUGAGUGAUGAAGGCCCUAGGGUUGUAAAGCUCUUUCACCGGUGAAGAUAAUGACGGUAACCGGAGAAGAAGCCCCGGCUAACUUCGUGCCAGCAGCCGCGGUAAUAC
rnacentral:rRNA from 1 species